CGGCAAGUCUUAUACGACCAGCUCCUGUUACUCCUCCAGGGUGGGAACACAGCAAAGGUACACGGUUGUAGCGGUGCGAUAUAAGUAACUUGCCUUUU
rnacentral:SRP_RNA from 1 species